AGUCGACGGUAACAGAACUAGCUUGCUAGUUGCUGACGAGUGGCGGACGGGUGAGUAAUACUUAGGGAUCUGCCUCUGUGUGGGGGAUAACUAUUGGAAACGAUAGCUAAUACCGCAUAACGUCUACGGACCAAAGAGGGCUUCGGCUCUCGCGCAGAGAGGAACCUAAGCGAGAUUAGCUUGUUGGUGAGGUAAAGGCUCACCAAGGCGACGAUCUCUAGCUGUUCUGAGAGGAAGAUCAGCCACACUGGAACUGAGACACGGUCCAGACUCCUACGGGAGGCAGCAGUGGGGAAUAUUGCACAAUGGGGGCAACCCUGAUGCAGCCAUGCCGCGUGUGUGAAGAAGGCCUUCGGGUUGUAAAGCACUUUCAGUUGUGAGGAAAGGUUAGUAGUUAAUACCUGCUAGCUGUGACGUUAACAACAGAAGAAGCACCGGCUAACUCCGUGCCAGCAGCCGCGGUAAUACGGAGGGUGCGAGCGUUAAUCGGAAUUACUGGGCGUAAAGCGCACGCAGGCGGUCUGUUAAGCUAGAUGUGAAAGCCCCGCGCUCAACGUGGGAGGGUCAUUUAGAACUGGCAGA
rnacentral:rRNA from 1 species